AAGGAAUGGGCUGAUACAGGUUCAGGUGAAAGUCGCCAAAAACUGGUGGAAUGCUUUCGAAACCAAUUCACUUGAGUGAGACAGAGGAGAGUGGAAUUUCGUGUGUAGGGGUGAAAUCCGCAGAUCUACGAAGGAAGGCCAAAAGCGAAGGCAGCUCUCUGGGUCCCUACCUACGCUGGAGUGCGAAAGCAUGGGGAGCGAACGUGAUUAGAUACCCUGGUAGUCCAUGCCAUAAACGAUGAGUGUUCGCCCUUGGUCUACGUGGAUCAGCGGCCCAGCUAACGCAUAAAACACUCC
rfam:Lupinus angustifolius cultivar Tanjil chromosome LG03, whole genome shotgun sequence.